GACUUCUGGUUUAAUGCACCUGGCCCGCGGCCCACAAGGCCUGUGAGUGCCGGCGCCGUUUACCAUCCUUCCAGCAACUGGAACUGAAUCUUUUACUUUGAAAAAAUUAGAGUGUUUAAAGCAGGCGUUUGCUCUGAAUACAUUAGCAUGGAAUAAUAAUCUAGGACUUCGGUUCUAUUUUGUUGGUUUCUAUAACUGAAGUAAUGAUUGAUAGGGAUAGUUGGGGGUGCUAGUAUUGGCCGGUCAGAGGUGAAAUUCUUGGAUUCGGUCAAGACUAACUUAUGCGAAAGCAUU
rnacentral:rRNA from 1 species